UGGUACUACAGAGGUGCGAAGGUUGUCGCUGACCUUUCUGAAAGGUCGUGCACACCGGAGUGCUCUCACACAAUCCACCUCACCACUUGUGCACCACCAUGCGGAGGCCCCUUGCUCUUGGCUCGCUUCGAGAGGGGGGAGGCUUUCGUUUUUUUUACACACACACACAAUACAGUAUGGUAGUUUAGAAUGUCAUUCAUUUGCGAUAACACGCAAUCAAUA
rnacentral:misc_RNA from 1 species